GACAGAGGUUGCAAACGUUGUUCGGAAUCACUGGGCAUAAAGCGCACGUAGGCGGUCCACUAAGUCAGGUGUGAAAGCCCCCGGCUCAACCGGGGAACAGCAUUUGAUACUGGUGGACUCGAGAGUGGUAGGGGUGAGUGGAACUCCAGGUGGAGCGGUGAAAUGCGUAGAUAUCUGGAGGAACACCGGUGGCGAAAGCGGCUCACUGGACCACAACUGACGCUGAGGUGCGAAAGCUAGGGUAGCAAACGGG
rnacentral:rRNA from 1 species